GCGCGAAACCUUUUCAAUGCGCGCAAGCGUGAGAAGGGAAUUCCAAGUGCUCAAGUUUUACUUGGGCUUUUGCCAAGUGUAAAAGCUUGGCGAAUAAGGGGUGGGAAAGACUGGUGCCAGCCGCCGCGGUAACACCAGCGCCACAAGUGGCCACCGCGAUUAUUGGGCCUAAAGCGUCCGUAGUCGGCUUUGUGCAUCCUCUGUGAAAUCGCUGCGCUUAACGUAGCGGCACGCGGGGGAAACGGCAGAGCUUGAGACCGGGAGGCGUCAGAAGAACUCCGGGGGGACCGGUAAAAUGGUAUAAUCCCCGGAAGACUACCUGUGGCGAAGGCGUCUGACGAGAACGGAUCUGACGAUGAGGGACGAAAGCCAGGGGAGCAAACCGGAUUAGAUACCCUUGUAGUCCCUGAGCGGGCUGGCAAGGCGCAU
rnacentral:rRNA from 1 species